rnacentral:sRNA from 1 species
GAAAUGGCCUGUCUGCUUUCCUGGGAGGAGCGGGGACCGGGCAAAAGUGCAGACGGGCGCGUAAGUUCGCAGAAACCUGCAGGGGCUGCCGCCCCGCUGAGAAAGAGAGAAUCCCCGUGGUCUGGAAACCAGAGCUGGAGAAUAAGCCAAGCCUGGGAUUCCGUCGUUGGAAUCGGUCCUUCGCCUAAGAGAGGAAUCCCAGGGGUUUCACCAAGGGGGCUCGCUAGUGGCUGCAGGGACCUUGGAAGUAUUAGUAAAUAUUGGCAACCACUUUGAUCUUGCUUCCAGUAUAUUUGUAGCACCGAGAAAAGGGAUUUAUAGCUUCAGCUUCCACGUGGUCAAAGUGUAUAACAGACAAACCAUCCAGGUCAGUUUAAUGCAGAAUGGCUACCCAGUGAUCUCGGCCUUUGCAGGAGACCAGGAUGUCACCAGAGAAGCUGCUAGCAAUGGCGUGCUGCUGCUCAUGGAAAGGGAAGACAAAGUGCAUCUCAAACUUGAGAGAGGCAACCUCAUGGGGGGCUGGAAAUACUCCACAUUCUCGGGCUUCUUGGUGUUUCCUCUAUAAACACAGAGCCCCCUAGAUGGUGGGGGAAUGGCAAACUGGACCCAGGACUCCGCCCUUUAAAACAC